GAAGAUGCUACACGAAUCACCAUAUAGAAGUGGAUUCCAAAAUCACGAAUGGUCCACGAGAACACAUCAGAGGAUAAAAUCUACUGAUUUAUCAUUCCAGGCAUGCAGUGCAUAUAUAGAAACUCAAAACAUAGAUACUGGAUACUUGGAUAGUUUUCAGAAUGACCAAGCAAAUGUUCACACCACCCAUUUUAACAUAGGAGUCACAUGAUUGAC
rnacentral:lncRNA from 1 species